ACAAAGAACUUUUGUAAGUCACUCUGGAUAAGGGUGUCUGCUAAAUACCCUAAA
rfam:Astyanax mexicanus chromosome 13, whole genome shotgun sequence.